AUAUUUUUUUACCCAUACAUGCUCUGUUUUAGUUCGAUUUGUAUGAUAUGUUACUCCAGGCAUGGAGAAAGCAGAUGCAGUAUAUUAAAUCCCCUCAAAAGAGACAUAUUAUCCAUAGAAUGCAAAGAGAGGCUGUAUCCAUAGAAUGCAUAGAGAUAUUCUAUCCAUAGAAUGCAUAGAGAGGUUCUAUCCAUAGAGAGGUUCUAUCCAUAGAAUGCAUAGAGAGGUUGUAUCCAUAGAGAGGUUCUAUCCAUAGAAUGCAUAGAGAGAUUAAGAAACACAUGCUGAGGAAAACUUCACUUCAAGUCUGGCGGAAUUGAUGUUAAUGUAAUUUGGCAGGCGCUUUUGUUUAGGAAAAAAAACAGUCAGAAAUAAGGCAUUAUGCAUUAUAUGACAAACAGUAUUAUUGUAACAAUAUUGUAACGAUAUUGAAUAUCAGAUUGGUAAUAGUAAAGACAUUGCUCACAGCAUCAAACAUGUAAACAAAAACAGCAAAGCACACUCUCGAGUGGAUUUGUUCUCCAUGUGUGUAGUACAUUUAGUCAUUUAGCAGACGCUUUUGUCCAAAACGACCUACAAGAGAGCAGCAGAGCAGGCUUUUGAAGGGCUUGUUGAAAGGUGGUUUGUAGAUGACUUGAGUAGGGGUGAAUACUAAUCACAGGAGGUGGCAAAACUUCAGGGCUACACUUAAAGAGGGUCAGUGCAUGAAUGAAAUACAAUCAUACACA
ensembl:lncRNA